rnacentral:rRNA from 1 species
UACGUAGGGUGCAAGCGUUGUCCGGAAUUAUUGGGCGUAAAGCGCGUGUAGGUGGCCAAGUAGGUCCGCUGUGAAAACUUGAGGCUCAACCUCAAGCUGUCGGUGGAAACCCCUUGGCUAGAGUCCGGAAGAGGAGAGUGGAAUUCCUGGUGUAGCGGUGAAAUGCGCAGAUAUCAGGAAGAACACCAAUGGCGAAGGCAGCUCUCUGGGACGGUACUGACACUGAGACGCGAAAGCGUGGGGAGCGAACAGG